UCGUGACUCUGAAGUCUGUCUCUGGCGCUCGACCAAUGAUAGUUAGUGUAUUUGAUGACGUAGACGAUCGGUCGCCCUACUUCCUGUUUCAUCUGCAUUUCGUAAUCGCUGCGAAAGAUCCCCCAUAGACAAAGACCGCAUGGUCCGGGAUCUUCGUCGACCUUAAACCGCGUGCUCUGUCAUGAAGUAAUUUCCAAUCCAUCGCAGGAUAUUUUGUGUCUGUAAGCACUAGAGAGAGCUUUACUUCCUUUGAGGAUUACAAGUGGCGCUAAGACAUGGUUACACAGCAAACUCACCGGGGUGUAGUCGUUAUCGGAGCAAAAUAAAUCCUUCUCUGCGUUUUCAUCAUGCAAUAUGUGCUCUUCUUAGUUUGAUGGUGAUAAAAAUCACCACCACAAGGAGACAGACUAUCAGGCAUGUCACCAGGAGAACCAGUAAUGAUGAACUUCUUGCAGCUCCAGCCUGCAUCUUGGGGAUGUCUGAACCCACUGGGAAAGGAGAGCAUGCUGGUUGACCACUUGUUCUCUGUCAUCUAUGUGAAAGGAGUUUGACUCACCUGUAUGGCUAAGAGUUCCACUGUCAAUAGUUUGUGGUACAUCGGACACAACUCACAAGACAAAAACUCCCCAAUGCUUUCCCAGGGAGGACACUUAGUACUUCCGUUGAGACAUAUUUUUUGUCCUCGCGGACCACUUGGGCCUGAGCUGUUGAACAGAACAUGUGUCAUCAGUAUCUGUAUCCAACGAAGAAUUUUCCUUUUAUGGUUAACACAUGUUGUGACCCACUUACCUGUACGAUGAAACUCUGGCCCAUCAUUAAAUUUCCAGGAGAUCUGGGGAGGGUAGUGGUUCCCCUCAGCAGUACACUUUAUGGCAGACUUUCCCUCAUGCUUUGCUACACUCAUUUUGGGAUAACCUGGAAAAGAAUCAUAGAAAAUGUUGUCUUUUGAAGCAAGAGAUGGGAGUUAUCUCUAUUUCUGGAAUCUGAUAAGUUGCUGUCAUGUCGUGAUGAAAUAAAGGUUUCACUUUUAUUACCCA